GAGAAGACAUCGCCGCGGUCGGUCGUUCUGUUGUCGCGUGUGAGUGAUUCUGGUGGGUUGUUUCCAUUCUUCGAAUGGCAACAAACCCGCGUGUCGCGCCGGUUCACAAUUUUGGUUUGGUGUAAAGUUGCGUUUUUUUUCUUCGCGGUGCAUUCCAGCGUGAUAACAAGAGAAUACACGCGCAAAGGUUACGCGGACUUACGCGGAAGAAGCCUUUCGUUGGGUGUCGUCGUCCUAUUAUUGAGGGGAAAUUAUCACACACCCGGAAUAUCAACUGAGUGUUGUUGGCUCUUUACGCGAUGAUCAAGUGAUAUCCCACGGAAGUGGACCAAUUAAGUGCCUUCUUUUGAGGUUCUAAGCUGCGGGCAACAGAAGUGAAGAUUGAAGGUUUAGGAAUAAAAGUGGAAUACAAUACGUACAGCAGAAAGAGAGAACAAGACCAACAAACAACAUGGGCAAAGUCGAAGUGGACAAGAAGCUGCUGCCGAUGAAGGCGCACUACUUCCUCUUCAAUGCAGGAACCGCGCCGGUUGUACCGUUCAUGCCAACGCUGAUUAUUCAGCUCGGAUUCUCGCCCGUCAUCGUGGGAACCGUGUACAGCGUCCUGCCGUUGGUGGGCAUGCUGGUGAAACCCUUGUUCGGGUUGAUUGCCGAUCGAUUCCAACGUCAGAAGCUGCUGUUUCUACUGUUUCAGAUCCUGUCGGCCGUUCCGUUCUUCCUGAUCAUGUUCAUCCCGGCGAUCCCGCAAGAGUCUUCCGUUAGCUUCCACUGUCACGGUGGAACAUCGAACCUGCGCUACUGUCCACCAAACGGAACAACGCUGGACAGUUGCCUAACGGAUCGGAUCGUGAACGUCGAAACAAACAAUGCCACCAUCCGGUGCGAGUUGGAGUGCCAAACGGAACACUGGAUGUGGGACACGAUCUGCAAGUACUGGAAGGUGGAAAAGUUCUGCGACCAGAGCAACAUUCCCUCCAACGGACAACUCGAGCUGACCGGACUUGUUCCGACGAACCAGAUCGAGCUGCAGCAGGACUGUUUGUGGUUCGUGCUGUCCGGGGCGGAAAUGGACGGAGAUCGGGUGCCAUUGUACUGCCCGGUGAAUACCACAGAUUUUCGGACCAGCUGCCAGGUGAAGUGUGACAAUCAGAUCAUCACGGAGGCCAUUACGCAUUCGAAAAUUGACGACAGCGAAGCGAAGGGUUUGUACCAGUUUUGGUUGCUGUUUUUGCUGCUGAUUCUGAGCUGGGCCGGAAUGGCCGUUGUAGUUAGUGUCGGCGAUGCAAUCUGCUUCGAUAUGCUGGGAGAUCGGCCGCACUUGUACGGUAACCAGCGGCUGUGGGGUUCCGUUGGUUGGGGAACGAUCUCGCUGGUGGCCGGAUAUUUGGUGGAUCACUUCUCGUACGGCAAGGCUACCAAGGACUACACCGUUGUGUUCUACAUGACGAUCGUGAUUAUUGGAGUGGACAUUUUGGUGUCGUCCAAACUUAAGCAUACUCAAACAAGACUGUCGACCAAUAUUGUGAAGGAUGUUGGCAAAAUUUUCGUCUCAUCCAGGAUAGUGAUCUACUUUUGCUGGUGCAUCCUGGUUGGGCUGGGCACAGCCAUGAUUUGGAACUUCCUGUUUCUGCACCUGGAGGAUCUGGCCGCAAAGCAGCAGGGCUGCGACCACACGGCCUGGAUCAAAACCCUCGAAGGCAUCGUCAUGUCAAUCCAAUGCUUUGGCGGUGAGCUGCCGUUCUUCUUCCUGUCCGGUUGGAUCCUGCGCAAGAUUGGCCACAUCAACGCGAUGAGCCUGGUCCUGCUGGGCUUUGGCGUGCGGUUCCUGCUGUACUCGCUCCUGGUCGAUCCGUGGUGGGUGAUUCCGAUUGAGUUUAUGAACGGCAUUACGUUCGGGCUGUUCUACGCCACGAUGGCAUCGUACGCGAGCAUCGUGGCCCCACCCGGAACGGAAGCAACCAUGCAGGGUCUGGUGGGUGCCGUCUUCGAGGGCAUCGGCGUGUCGUGCGGCAGUCUGCUGGCCGGAAAUCUCUUCAACCAGGUUGGCGGCGGUCAAACGUUCCGGUGGUUCGGAGUGGCGGCGCUCGUGCUGUUUGCGGUGCACGUGGUCAUUCAGUGGGUGGUGGAUCGGUUCGCGGCACGGGACGUUCGUGCCGGAUAUACUUCCCCAGGCGAUGCCCUGGACCAGCUAGAUGACGACGAACCGAUAGUGCACGGAAGAACGUGACGGGAGCGGGUCAUCAUCGUACCAGUACAAACAAAGAAGACAAUUUCCUUUAUAGUGUUUUAAUGAUAAGAUUAAAAUGUAUAUUGUAUGGAAAAGCACACUUUGAAAAUGUGUAUAAACUGCUGCAGGUUAAAAUGU
rnacentral:misc_RNA from 1 species